CCUAAGCACUGUUCCUAAGGCCAGAUUUGAAGUGACGCUUUUGCCCCUGGUCUUUUUUGUCAAAUACGCUGUGUCAUUGGUGUAGUGCGUUGUUAUUCGACAGUGGCUAUUGUGAGGUUGGCUUUGUGCAAUCGAAGGGAGUAGAGCAGAGGAAGGCGAUAGAAGGCUAGAAGCUAUUAAAUCGUUGGGAUCAUCACGGGAAGAAGGGAAGAGAUUGGUUUCUGUUCGGUUUGGAUAAGUGGUCGGCUGUUGGUUGCGUGGAUUGUGAAAGGUUUAACAUCGAAGGGAUAUUGUUUGUUGUGGAAUUUGUGAUUUGAGUAAUUGGCUGGAAGAGCUUGGAGGUUCUAUGCAAAGGAGAGUCUCAAUUGUUUUUCUGCCAUGGUUCCUGUAUCUGUUAUUUGCUAUUGGUUUCAUGUUCUAUUGUUAUUCAGAUUAGAGAAGCUUCUCUGGAUCCUAAAUCACUAUCAUCAUUCUGAACUGGAAAUGAUAUACUAUAUUGGAUGAGUAUUUCAAAGCUUAUUAUGCUGCUUUAAGAAAAAUACGAGAAGAAGAAGCAGCAAAGAGUCGUCAGGUUGGCAUGAAGUCAAAACUUCGAAGAUGAAGAGCAAGAUAAUGUUGACUGUGAAGAGGCUCCAGUUGCAGUAUUUUUCCCUACUCAUUUGACAAGGUCUCCUUUGUAAUACACACCCCAGAAACAUUGGUAUCUUGCUGGUCAUUAGAUUAGUUGAAUUGAGGGAAUAUUGUUGGGCAGGAAAUGGAGAUGCAUGAGAGCUUUCCAACUGUUGACAAAAGGACAUGCAAUUCUCAAAAAGAGGCUCAAGGCUUAUUUUCAGAAUAAGGACAAGUAUGAUGUUAGAGAUUCGUAUGAGCAGAAAGCUAAGGAGAGUUCAAAGUCGAUCAGUAACUAGAGGCCGAGCUUGAACUUGAACUUCAGAGGUUAAAUGUCACAACUUUUACAAUUUCAAUUGUUCUCUGCCUGUUUAUGCUGCUCAUUUUGUCAAAUUUCUAAUUCCUACAGUUCACUAUUUAUGCAAUAUACUGAAUGAGAAUUAAAGUAAAUUCCAGUACUUUCUAUAGUUUUUUACAUUCUGUAUAUCUGAGUUGCUUAUAAUUUGCUCGCAAGUUGAUUUUUAGAAAAUGCUUUAAAAUUUAUACAGCUCAUAUAUACUGUUCAAAUAAUAUAUCAUUGUUCAAUUACAACAUAUAUCCUCCUUUAAACAUUUUAAUCAUACUUGAGUAAACAGUUCUUUCUUUCUUUCUUUCAUUUUUUCAAUAUUGUUUAUAAAUUUAGUUCAACACAGAUUCUACAUUUGACUAUAUUCUAACAAAAUAUAUACAUAUCACACAAGAGAUUGUCUAUUGCAGCGCUUCAAUCCGCAAAUUUCCAACACAUAAUGGUUGGUGGUAUAAAGGAUGGGCAAGCUGUUUCCGACAAAUAAAAGUAAAGGAAAAUAGUGGUGAACUCAUUUGUGUACACCAUGGCAUACAGACACCUCAUCCCUGUUACAGAGUCCACAUGACCAUU